ACAUGCAGCUAUUACUCUCCAGCUCUCAUCUGGUUGCCCACUGAAGCUAAGCAGGGUUGAGCCUGGUCAGUACCUGGAUGGGAGACCUCCUGGGAAAACUAGGUUGCUGCUGGAA
rnacentral:rRNA from 1 species